GACGUAGGGGGCAAGCGUUGUCCGGAAUCAUUGGGCGUAAAGAGCGUGUAGGCGGCCCGGUAAGUCCGCUGUAAAAGUCAAAGGCUCAACCUUUGAAUGUCAGUGGAUACUGCCGGGCUAGAGUCCGGAGGAGGCGAGUGGAACUCCUGGUGUAGCGGUGGAAUGCGCAGAUAUCAGGAAGAACACCAACGGCGAAGGCAGCUCGCUGGGACGGUACUGACGCUGAGACGCGAAAGCGUGGGGAGCGAACAGG
rnacentral:rRNA from 1 species